AGUCCUACAAAAAUAAAAAAUGUCUAGACUAUACAGGAAUACAUAAUUUUCAUGUGUGACUAUUGAUAUGCAUAACACCACAGUCUGAAUAUAAAUCAGUCGUCCCACUACCUUUCUGUUCCAAUUUUACGAACGCUGGAAUAAACUUUGAACGGAAUCGCAGUGGUUUAUUUAUUUAUUAGAUUUUUCUUAUUUUUAUAAUGAGUCAUAAUUUUUAUUAAUGGACGCUAUAUGUACCAGGUGUCUAUGCAAAACCUUUAAAUGGAAUUAUAACUGGUAUGUUAAAAGCUUUCAGCUUAAAAUUUUGGAGUGUCAUCAAGGGAGAUAAUUAAUAGGAUAUAAGAUACAACCCCAACGUGACAUAAGUGAUUAGGUUUAAUCAUUUGGAAAUUAUUGCGUGUUAUUAUAAAAGUUUAUCGCCGGUCAUUGCGAUAAGAGUCCGUUAUCGCUGCGUACAGCUAAUUAUGUACUUUCAAUAUCUUUCGUCAAAGUAAACACAGUCGGACGUGAAACAAGUGCUUCGGUUGUAAGACAGUGAGUCUAGAACAAUAUGCGUAGAAACCGCCUCAUUUAUUAAUUUACAUAUAAUUUAGUGUUAAGCGACCUUCGCCUGACGGAACUGCGUAUUUUUGAAAAAGCGAACAAAUCGUUGCGAUACAUUUAAAUUAAUAAUAGAUAAAAUAUCCGGACAGUUCAGGUGACCAUUUAGUAGUUUGAAACCAAAACAUGCGGUAAGAAAAUUUCUCCUUUGUUUAAGAGUCAGUAUUCCCAGGUAAAGUCGUACAUUUUCAGCGUGAUCCAAAAUGACUCCAUUAAGAAGUAUUUUAUACUUUAUAAGGCGAAGGAAAUUGUUUUGUAUUUUUUCUAACCGAUUAAUAUGAGUUGAAAAGUAUGGUGACCAGAUCGUGCAGCAAUAGACCAGAUGCGACCUAACCAGGGAGAAGUAUAGUCUUCAGUGCCGUUAUGUUGAUGAAAUCCUUGCAUUGGCGACGAAUGAGCCCAACCAUUUUGCUAACCUUCGAGAUAACAUGAUCGUAGUGAUGCUUGUGUCAAGUACUACACCCAGGUCCUUGAUGAUGCCCACAUGUUGAAGUUCUUAACCACAAAGAUGGUAGUGCGGUACAGAAAGAGAUGAUUUCUUCGAAAAACAAAUUGAACCCAUAUUUCAAGUUGUACCAAAUCUUGUUGAAGGAUCAGCACAUCCUGGGUGUUCUCAAUAGGUCUGUAGAUGUAGAUAAGAUCGUCAGCAAAGAGGGCAUGAUUUGAGGAAAAUAUCGAAGAUAUGUCAUUAACUUAUGCCACGAACCGAGGCAGCACGAAAUGUGUCCCUUGCGGAACUCCAGAUUUGAUGUCAAUGGGAUCCGAUAAAGUGUCAUCGAUUUGAAGUCGUGCUUUACGUCCAGCUAAGUAGCUAAGUACUGAAACGGGUUUGUUUCUACAGAUCUCCCUUUUGUAAAAGCAUGUUGAUUGGCCGAUAGCACUUGCGAGAAAGCCUUGGUGAACUGCCGGACAAUAAUGGAUUCGAAAAGUUUCGGUAUAGCCGACUGGAUGGAUAUUGGUCUGUAGUUAUAUAGGCACUCGGGAAAACACUUUUCAACCAAUGAAGACGAAAAUAAAAGGAACAGUGGUAGAUAUAUUGAUUGAGCACAGUUCUUGAGAAAUUUUGGUGGAAUUUCAUCUGGUCCUGUGCUUCCGAAUUCAUCGACAACUGAUAGAUUUACACUGUGAUCGCAACUCGGUAAAAACAUGAUAAUCAAUGUUGCUCUUGGAUGCUUUACACAUUUACAUGUGUUUCCAAAUAUUUGUUGAAAAAUAGUGAAUGCCAGUCCACGGAACGAAUAUAAUCAUUGAAUUGAUCGUAAGGAGGCUUCGAAAAGUUGAAUUUGUAGAGCAGUGUUUCUUGUUAAGUUUGUCUUCAUAUGUAUACGUAGUAUUAGUUUUAUACAAAACAGUGUAACAAUUUUAUAUGUUCAGUGUAAAUGCAUUUAUUUGAAUUGACUUAUCCCAUAGCAUUUAUAAGCUCAGAGGGUUAAUAAAGUAUUAUUAUUAUUAUUAUUAUAAACGAACGAAUACUAGCCAAACGAGACGAAAAUUCGAACGUGAUAUGUGUGCAAUCGGUCAGUGAUAUCCGAAUUCUUUUUAGUGGUUUAUUUACAUUACAAUUUAUCAAUUUACGAUAUUUAAUUUCAUUAUGGAGACUUUUGAAUUUCGUAGUAUACGCUGAUCGAAUCUUGUACUAUAAAAAUUUGGAUAUAAUUACAGAA